rnacentral:lncRNA from 1 species
AUUUAGUUCUGUCUUAGUUUUUAUCAAUUGAGUGUUUUAUCAGGGGGAGCGAAGUGUUCAAUUUAUUCGAAGAUGUAGGUUAACUCACAAUACUCAGUUCUUUGUUAUAUUAGAAAAAAUAUUUCAAGUUUGUUUUAAUUUAGUUUUUUUGAAUUAUUCAUUUUACAUAAGGAAUGUCAUAAAUAUUUGGAAAUAAUACAGACAUUUACAAC